GGCGGGAUCAAGCUUGGGGGCGGAGCCGACGCUGGGUCGGCUGCUGAGCUCUCCAGAGCUCCCGCUGCAGAGAUUCGGUCCGGGAUCCGGGCCACCCACUGGGCGGGGGUGCUCGUCGGCCCUGGGCUCUACAAAGCCCUGAAGGUAAAUCCGCCUGGGAGACGGGCUGCUGGAGCUCUAGGGGACCUACGGCGGGGGCAGGCCGCUGGAUGGCGGCGGAGGGGAGCGUCCCGCGACGAGUUUCCCAAGAAAGCUGAACUCUUCCCAAGUUUCUUGUGCAUCAGUUUGCACCGGCGAUUUGGUGGCGGUCUGUUUCUGUGCGGGUGGUCUUGGGCCGCGAGAGAGGCGCGGAGGUGAUUGGAUUAAUUCGCCUGGGCGCGACCCAGGUUUCUGUACUGGACCCCUCGCCGCGGUGGGCGCAGUUUUUGCCCCAGAAAGGGUGGGUAAUUGAACGCAGUUGUGUCCCUCGGCAGCCGAGUGAUCCGCGGGCUCAGAGCACGCGCGUCUGCAAGGCGUGCCUAGUAGUCCGGAGGCCAAGCUCCAUGACUUCUUUCCUCUUUAGGCAAGACUGACUAGGUGUUGUCCCCCACCCCCCGGGGGCUGACCCCUGAGGCUCCGCUAUGAACACCGAGAGCGAAGUGGAUUUUUCCAGCAACAGCUUAACCCCUUUGUGGCGGAGGCGUUCAACCCCUCAGCCCCAGCUCCUGGGCCGGAGCAAGCCGAGGCCCCAGUCCUAUCAGAGCCCCAGCGGGUUGCUGAUCACGGAUUUCCCGGUGGAGGACCGAGAGACGCUCCCUGCGGCGCAGACUCUGGCCGAAGUGCCCGGCGCCUCAGACGGCAGGAGCCCCCUGCUUAUAUGCGCCCAUCGGAGGGCGGUGACCAAUGGGAGGACCGUCUCCCAGGAGUACAGGGCUGUCUCUCCUCGGCUUCGAAGGUCCAAGUCACCCCAAGUCCCCAGAGUGGCGUCGGGCGGCUCCCCCAAGUCCCCAGCGAACGGCACAUUGACCAAGCCCGCGCCUCAGCCGCUGCACCCCCCGCGGACUCCUCGAGCGCCGCCCCCCUGCAGCCCCGAGGGGGACAAGACCGGAUUCCCCACCAGCCCCCUGCCUUCUCCGGCUGCAAAUGGGCUUUCCCCUAUUAUCUCCUCCCAAGGCGCCGGUUCGCUCUCCGGCAACAUGGCUAAGGACCCUGAGCGAGGAACCUCGAGACUCUCUCCUUCGCUCCCCAAAAGGUCUUUGGAACAAAAACUGCCUCUCCAAAGGCUGCCCUCACCGGAGAACGAACUCCUGGAGAAUCCUUCAGUGGUUUUGAGCACAAACAGCCCCGCCGCCCUCAAAGUGGGAAAACAGCAGAUCAUUCCGAAGAGCUUGGCCUCGGAAAUUAAAAUAAGUAAAUCCAACAAUCUGAACGUGGAACCUCACAAGAGACUGCUCAAGGUGCGCAGCAUGGUGGAGGGCCUUGGGGCCCCCGUGGGCCCAGCAGAGGACGAGGGCGAGGCGGAGCACGACUUGGACAGCCCGGGGUCUCUGCGGAGAGGCUUGCGGUCCACCUCCUAUCGCAGGGCGGUGGUCAGUGGCGUUGAUUUUGACAGUCCUGGCACCUCGAAGAAGAAGAACAGGAUGUCCCAGCCGGUUCUGAAAGCAGUGAUGGAAGACAAGGAGAAGUUUUCCAGCCUGGGAAGGAUAAAGAAAAAAAUGCUGAAAGGACAAGGAACAUUUGAUGGGGAAGAAAAUGCUGUCCUGUAUCAGAACUACAAAGAAAAGGCCCUUGACAUCGACUCUGAUGAGGAGUCAGAGCCAAAAGAACAGAAAUCUGAUGAAAAAAUUGUGAUUCACCACAAGCCUCUGAGGUCCACGUGGAGCCAGCUCACUGCAGUGAAAAGAAAUGGAUUAUCUCAGACAGUUAGCCAGGAGGAAAGAAAGCGACAAGAGGCUAUUUUUGAAGUCAUAUCCUCUGAACAUUCAUAUUUACUCAGUUUGGAGAUCUUGAUACGAAUGUUUAAAAAUUCUAAAGCACUGAGUGAUACGAUGACCAAAACCGAGAGUCACCAUCUUUUCUCCAAUAUUACAGAUGUCUGUGAGGCAAGCAAAAAAUUCUUUACAGAGUUGGAAGCAAGGCAUCAGAAUAAUAUCUUCAUAGAAGACAUAAGUGACAUUGUGGAAAAGCACACAGCAUCCACAUUUGACCCAUAUGUGAAAUACUGCACAAAUGAAGUCUACCAACAGCGGACACUGCAAAAAUUGUUAGCCACCAACCCGUCUUUCAAGGAAGUUUUGUCCCGAAUCGAGUCCCACGAAGACUGUAGGAACCUACCUAUGAUCUCAUUUCUCAUUCUUCCCAUGCAGAGGGUGACCCGCCUUCCCCUGCUGAUGGAUACUAUCUGUCAAAAGACUCCUAAGGACUCUCCUAAAUAUGAAGUCUGCAAAAGAGCCUUAAAGGAAGUGAGCAAGUUGGUGCGACUCUGCAAUGAAGGAGCCCGGAAGAUGGAAAGGACAGAAAUGAUGUACACAAUUAACUCCCAGCUGGAAUUUAAAAUUAAGCCUUUUCCUCUAGUCUCCUCUUCCCGGUGGUUGGUAAAAAGAGGUGAGUUGACAGCCUACGUGGAAGACACAGUGCUUUUCUCAAAAAGGACGUCCAAACAGCAAGUCUACUUCUUUCUUUUCAAUGAUGUGCUCAUUAUCACCAAGAAGAAGAGUGAAGAAAGUUACAAUGUCAAUGAUUAUGCUUUAAGAGAUCAGCUACUGGUGGAGUCUUGUGACAGUGAAGAGCUUACUUCUUCUCCAGGGAAGAACAGCUCCACAAUGCUUUAUUCAAGACAGAACUCUGCCAGUCACCUCUUUACGCUGACUGUCCUUAGUAACCACGCAAAUGAGAAAGUGGAGAUGCUGCUGGGAGCAGAGACGCAGUGCCCAUCAGGAUACUUAAUCUUUGAUGAUUCCUCAUCACUGAUAUCCAGGAAAACGAGAGCAGGAGUGAGCGAGCCCGCUGGAUAACUGCCCUGGGACACAGCAGUGGGAAGCAGCCUCCAGAUCGGACCUCACUGACCCAAGUGGAAAUCAUUCGAUCAUUUACUGCCAAGCAGCCAGAUGAACUCUCUCUGCAGGUGGCGGACGUGGUCCUCAUUUAUCAGCGUGUUAGCGAUGGCUGGUAUGAAGGGGAAAGACUUCGAGAUGGAGAACGGGGCUGGUUUCCUAUGGAAUGUGCUAAGGAGAUAACGUGCCAAGCUACAAUUGAUAAGAAUGUGGAGAGAAUGGGACGUUUGCUGGGACUAGAGACCAACGUGUAGCCUUUCCAGGGGUAUUCUGCCACUGCGAGAUUUGCACUACAUCAUGGUGGGCUGGUUGGUUCAGAGCUGGUUUUGAUGUUAAUUUUAACAUAGCCUAGUUAAUUAAAAGAAUGGAAACACUUGCCUUUAAGUUUUCAGGUGGUUCUGUUCUCUCAGGAGAACAGCUACUGGACACAGUUAGUCCGCAAAGCUCAGUCUGUGCACAGCAAUCCUUUUGCAGACCUCUUUAGGUUAACAGAAUAGCUGAGCAGUUCACUUCAGGGAUCAGGCUGCCUCAGCAACUCCUCAUUGUAUCAUGUCCUGGCAUAAAAAGAAAAUACAUGUAAGAUGUUGCAUCCUCAUUUUCUCUAUCUUCACUUAACCAAGAAUGUAUAUUAGCUCUCUUUAAACAUCUCCUUCACAUAGUUCUUCCAGUAGUACCGAGGUUUUGUCUUAAAGAAAUGCCCAGUUUUGUAACUAUUUUUCCUGACUUUUAUAUUUUAGAUCUGAUAGAUUUCAAAAGGAACUGCUAGAGCUCUGAAGGUGAGCCCAGCCUUUCUAAACCUCUUCCCAGAAAAGGGAAAUUGACACUUGAAUUUUUGUCACCCCUUUCCUCAUUGGAAGGGAAGGAGCCUUAGGAGAUUUUUUUUUUAAAAUCUUUCUCACCUGACUUUGGUCUUAGGUAAAUAUAUUCUAAUAAAACAUGGGCUACUCUAACAGCAUAGAAUUUAGAUGCCUCACAUAUGUGAGAAAAUCUUGAAUAUAGGACAAGGGUCCUGCUUUUUAAAAACAGACUCAACUGAGCUGAUUAGAUGACGUGAGGCUGCUUUGCCUUCAAUAACAUGAAGUUUUUGACAGUUCCUACUCCUAUUUGCAGAAGGAAAUUGGCUGAAACAUACUUUAACCAUUUCAAAGAAGGUAAAAUUGGACCUUAAAAGGUAUCAAGAAGCCAGCAUGGUACCUAAUUACAACAUAACAUUUUGACCUUAAUGGGAACUCAUUUUAUUUGCACUAAAGGCCUUGCUUGCUGGAUUUGAAGUCUCUUAACUAUGGGUAUCUGCAGAACUUUAUUUCUUCCACUAGUACGAGGACAGAGAAGAGUCCUUAUAAUUGAAUGUUUUCAUAAAGAGGGAAUGGAGGAUUUGGAAGAGUGAGGGGGAGGAAUGAUUUUUUUUACUGGCAGCUACUUUCCACCUCUACUCCACUCUCCUCCACGGAGGGCCUGGCAAAGGGAACACCAUUCAAGGACUCAGGUCCACGUCUGACACGUCCCCAGCUACCUCUGCCAACCAGUUUAUCUGUUGUAACUGCAGAAGUUGUGGCAACUGUAGCUGCGUCGCCCCUGGAUCACUCCCCUUUAUCAGUGGAACAUUUCUGGGUAUAAAGAUAUUCCAGGUCCUGAGCAGCUUGAGGUCUGGGCCAGUCUGUCAGUGGAGAAUAGCAGUGGACUUGGCUAGUGAGGUUUCAGGGUUGGUAAAACAAAACACAGACUUUGGAGGAGAGGCUAAUAAAAUUUAACUAAUGGGUCAUUUUCACGGAAGGAAAGUAAAUGUGUUGCUUUGCAGAGACCAGUUCGUAUUAUUUUUUGCUAAUACCUGUUAAAACUAAAAAUUAGCAACUGUAUGAAUCCUGUAUCAGUAUGAGAUGUUGAACAGUUCUGGAAAUAUGUGCAUCUUAUAAGUCAAAGCCUAUUUAGCAAGUGGGUUAAUACUAUUAGAUAAAACAUUGUUUUAGAGCAGGUAUUAACCCAUUCACAAUGUUUCAUUUUUAGUUCAACUGUGAGUGACACAGUAUUGUUUUUCACACCCAGUUCAGUUUCUAUGUAUAGCUUCUCUGAAUUGUACAAUGACUUCAUUCAGUUACCUGUGGAGAACAAAAAUAUUCUUUUCUGUCCCAGUGAAAUGAGACUGCUUGUACACUUUUGGCAAAAAUAUGUGAGUUUAUAAAGAUUUUGUAUAUACUUGUUCUUUCAUGCUGAUGUGAUUUAAUUUACUGUAGGACGUGUUCAUUUUAGUACAUUUAAGUUUGCUGCAUUUUGAGCUAAAUGAGAGUUCUACUCAAAAGGUAUCUGUAGCUAAUAUGAAAGCUGUGUCUGAUCUUUUUUGGGUAUAUGUGGGCCUCAGCUGCUCUAAAACGCUGGGGCAUUUUUAAGAACUGAACCAUCCUAUUUCUUAAGAGUUUCUACAAAACCUCAUGACUGAAUAGCUUAUCUCAACUAAUUCAGUUAUUAACCCUUGGAGUAAACACCUUAUUGUUCA